rnacentral:SRP_RNA from 1 species
GCCAGGCGUGGUGGUGCAUGCCUGUAAUCCUAGCUACUUGGGAGGCUGAGGCAGGAGAAUCGCUUGAACUCGGGAGGUGGAGGUGGCAGUGAGCAGAGAUCACGCCACUGUACUCUAGCCUGGGAGACAGAGUGAGACCCUGUCUCUA